rnacentral:tmRNA from 1 species
GGGGGUGUAUUGGUUUCGACUAGGAAAUAAAGUAUUGAUUGCAUGCAGAGGAUAUCGGUUGGCCUCUAUAAAAAACCGGUAAAACAAUUAAAUGCCAAUAACGGUGUUAAAGUAGCUAGAGGCGAAAAAAUUCUUGAUUUCCCUGGAACUCAAGUUGAUUCCACUCCAGUUGCAGUUGCAGCUUAAGCCUAACCGCUUAAGAGGCCCGAUAGCCUGAAACUAGACCAAGGGUUUUGGGGUCUAUCGUCAUUUUCUUGGUGUGAUGUGAAAUCCGACCGCUUCUAGGGUCUCCCAUCGAGAUUAAAUGAAGUAAGCUAGUCAUAAUGUCGUGUUCUACAUGGUGACUAGUCUAACCUCAGAGCACUAAGCAUGUAGCGGUCAGUAUGGAGUUUGCUUAGGACGAGAGUUCGAUUCUCUCCACCUCCA